GACAGAGGGUGCGAGCGUUGUUCGGAAUUACUGGGCGUAAAGCGCGUGUAGGCGGCAGCGUAAGUCGGGCGUGAAAUCCCACGGCUCAACCGUGGAAGUGCACUCGAAACUGCGCAGCUAGAGUCCUGGAGAGGAAGGUGGAAUGCUUGGUGUAGAGGUGAAAUUCGUAGAUAUCAAGCGGAACACCGGUGGCGAAGGCGGCCUUCUGGACAGUGACUGACGCUGAGACGCGAAAGCGUGGGGAGCAAACAGG
rnacentral:rRNA from 1 species